CCCUUAGAUGUUCUGGGCCGCACGCGCGCUACACUGAUGCAUGCAACGAGUUUAUAACCUUGAUGGAGACGUCUGGGUAAUCUUUUAAAAGUGCAUCGUGCUGGGGAUAGAUUAUUGUAAUUUUUAAUCUUGAACGAGGAAUUCCUAGUAAACGCAAGUCAUCAGCUUGCAUUGAUUACGUCCCUGCCCUUUGUACACACCGCCCGUCGCACCUACCGAUUGAAUGGUCCGGUGAAAUUUCGGGAGUUUGGCGCGAGCUUGACUUGCGCCGAGCAAACUUACUUAAAUCUUACCAUUUAGAGGAAGGUGAAGUCGUAACA
rnacentral:rRNA from 1 species